AUGACAAGCACUUUGAAAAGAGGGUGAAAAGAACCUGAAACCGUCAUGGGGGAAGCGGAUUGCGUUGAGUAAAAGGGAUGUUGCGUGUUCAGCCAUAACUGGUGCAUUGGCGCAGCAACCCGAUCUGUCGUGGGUUUUGCACGGUUGAUUUUGAACCGUGCGGGGCUGAGGGCUCCCUUUUAUAGGUGAGGACGAUAAGGUAGUGACGCGAUACGACCCGUCUUGAAACACGGACCAAGGAGUCUAGCGCUACUGCGAGUCAAAGGGUGCAAGCCUGAGGGCGCAGUGAAAGCGAGUGUGAAAACGAGCAGUUUGGGGCGGCAUGAGAUUGUUAAUUUCAAGUCCGACCUUGAGCAGUUGCGCUGGGACCCGAAAGAUGGUGAACUAUGCCGGAGUAGGGCAAAGCCAGAGGAAACUCUGGUGGAGGCUCGUAGCGGUGCUGACGUGCAAAUCGCUCGUCCAACUUGGGUAUAGGGGCGAAAGACUAAUCGAACCAUCUAGUAGCUGGUUCCCUCCGAAGUUUCUCUCAGGAUAGCGGGCCGACGGGUGUUGUUUUGUGU
rnacentral:rRNA from 1 species